rnacentral:rRNA from 1 species
CUAUACUGCAAGUCGAGCGGAUUUUGGAUGGAACUUGCUCCUGAUUCAUUUAUCGGCGGACAGGUGAGUAACACGUAUGCGACCUGCCCUUGAGACUGGGAUAACAUUCUGAAACGAAUGCGAAGACAGGAUAGACGACGAGGUCUCAUGAGCUUGUUGAGAAACACGGCGCACGCUGUGGCUUGUGGAUGGGCCUGCGGCGCAUUAUCUAUUUGGUGGGGUAACGGCUCACCACGGCGACAAUACGUAUCCCACAUGAGAGGGUGAACGGCCACACUGGGACUGAGACACGGCCCACACUCCUACAGGAGGCAGCACUAUGGAAUCUUCCCCAAUGGGCGCACGCCUGAUGGAGCAACGCCGCGUGAGUGAGGAAAGCUUUCUGGUCUCAUAGCUCUGUUGCCACGGAAGAAUAUAGAUGUGUUAACUGCGCAUUCUAUGACAGUACCUGAGAAAAAAGCCCCGGCUAACUACAUGCCAGCACCCGCGGUAAUACAUAUGGGGCAAGCGUUGUCCGGAAUUAUUGUGCGUAUAGCGCGCGCACGCGGUCUUUUAAGUCUGGUGUCUCAGUGCGGGGCUCAACCCCGUGAUGCGCUGUAAACUGUGAGACUUGAGUGCGCAAGAGAAGAGCGCAAUUCCACGUGUAUCGCUGAAAUGCGUAUAGAUGUGUAGGAACACCACUGUCGAAAGCGGCUCUCUGGACUGUAACUGACACUCAGGCGCGCAAGCGUGUGGA